UUACUGUUGGCAAGGUCACGGAGUCUAUCGCUGUCUCCUUUAUCAGAAUGACAUGUAUAACAGUUAGCUAACGUUAGCCGUCUUGGCAUGAAGCUUGACUGGCAGUGCAUUUGUGCACUCAGACAUGACGAGCUAGGCUAAGUUGCAGUGUGGAUCAUUGGUGACAUCUAUGUCCACAUGGUGGCCAGAGAGAUGCAAAGAGCUUAGGAAACAUCUUCACCCUGCUGGACGUCUCUUGGUCUGGCUGGCUUCCCCCCUCCCUGUGAAGAAGUGCAGCACUUGAUGUCUUCAUCAUCCACUGUAGCAUGACGCGUGACGGCCCCUGCUUAGUCUACUUCUACCUGAUAUGGAGCACCUGGGCCCAGUGCACUACAGGAUAUCCAUCGUGCCUGGCUCUCUCCCUGACAGCACCUGCACCUUACUGCUUUGCUGAACCAUUGUUUUUAUUUUUACUCCACACCUAAUCCCACAGUAUAUGAACACUACUUAUUUACCACUGUUACUAUCCAGGUUCCAUUAUCAUAAUUACUGUUAUAACUUUUACACAUUUUCAUUAAUUUAAGUGUCUUAACUGUACAUUAUUUCAAAUCAUACAAAACAACAAUUUUAACCUUUUUAGUGCUGUUUUCAUGAAUGCAUGAUAGGAUUUUAAUUUGAUUAACUGUUUCUUGUGUAGUGUAAUCAUUUGUUAAA